UUAAGUUCAGCGGGUAUCCCUACCUGAUCCGAGGUCAACCGUUGAGUUGGGGGUUCUGGCCAGCCACCGCGGGGCCCUGGAGCGAGAGUAUCACUGCGCUCAGGGCCGGGCGCGCCGCCACUGACUUUGGGGCCGGCCGCGACGGGCGGGGCCCAACACCAAGCGGGGCUUGAGGGUUGAAAUGACGCUCGGACAGGCAU
rnacentral:misc_RNA from 1 species